rnacentral:rRNA from 1 species
CUUGGUGGCCAUAGCACCUGUGCCCCACCCGAUCCCAUCUCGAACUCGGCCGUGAAACCAGGUAGCGCCGAUGGUACUUUGUCUUAAGGCAUGGAAGAGUAGGUCGUCGCCAGGC